AUAUAUAUAUAUACACACACACACACACACACACACACACACACACUGUCUCUGUGUGUGUGUGUAUAUAUAUAUAU
rnacentral:miRNA from 1 species